AUGAGGGGAGUAUACACAAAUGUUGGGAUGAUCUAGACAACAAACGAGAGGCUAAUUAGGAUCAGAAAAAACUCAUUUCAAUCUUCGGUUCAGUUUUUCAGAUUGCAGACUGAAGAUAAUCAGAGUAAAGCUAGGAGAUCAAUCACCAACAUGUGUCAACACAGUACAGACAAGCUUCCAACCCCGGGUGUUACAAGAGAGUUAUAGACUCACACAAUAGAAAUAAAGUUUCAAGUGAUUGCUAUACAGAUCUAGUGUAGAGAGAGGAACAAUGAGGCGACCAUCACCAAGAUAUGUGAAACCCUCUCCCACCACAAUGUCAAUUUGGAUCAAGGAUGCAAGAUCAAAAAUGCUUACGAAUGGAGUAGCUUAGGUGCUGUAUUAAUUGUAUAAAUAUAGUGUGUUCAUUAUUCUAAAUAAGACAUUGUAUUCAAUACACUUUUUCUAUAUCUGUCUUUUCAUUUCCUUCUUUGUGUUUUAGAUAUAUAAACUAAAAGUUUUACAGAUAAAAGAAAUGAAAUUAG